AUGCCGGAUGCUCCGACUCCUCGCAUGGGGUGUCGGGAAAGAUUUCAUCGGUAUGGGAUGGGGUCGCGUCCUAUCAGGUAGUCGGCGGGGUAACGGCCCACCGAGCCUACGACGGGUAGCCGGCCUGAGAGGGCGACCGGCCACAUUGGGACUGAGAUACGGCCCAGACUCCUACGGGAGGCAGCAGUGGGGAAUAUUGCACAAUGGGCGCAAGCCUGAUGCAGCGACGCCGCGUGCGGGAUGACGGCCUUCGGGUUGUAAACCGCUUUUGAUCGGGAGCAAGCCUUCGGGUGAGUGUACCUUUCGAAUAAGCACCGGCUAACUACGUGCCAGCAGCCGCGGUAAUACGUAGGGUGCAAGCGUUAUCCGGAAUUAUUGGGCGUAAAGGGCUCGUAGGCGGUUCGUCGCGUCCGGUGUGAAAGUCCAUCGCUUAACGGUGGAUCUGCGCCGGGUACGGGCGGGCUGGAGUGCGGUAGGGGAGACUGGAAUUCCCGGUGUAACGGUGGAAUGUGUAG
rnacentral:rRNA from 1 species